rnacentral:ncRNA from 1 species
AUAGGGCAAACCCGCUGAAAGGCGGCGACGCAAAGCUCUGGUGUCUAAAUAGUAUUUACUGUAUGACCGACCGGCUGC